rnacentral:rRNA from 1 species
GGAAUUUUGGACAAUGGGGGCAACCCUGAUCCAGCCAUGCCGCGUGCGGGAAGAAGGCCUUCGGGUUGUAAACCGCUUUUGUUCGGGAAGAAAUCGACUCCGCUAAUACCGGGGUUGGAUGACGGUACCGGAAGAAUAAGCACCGGCUAACUACGUGCCAGCAGCCGCGGUAAUACGUAGGGUGCAAGCGUUAAUCGGAAUUACUGGGCGUAAAGCGUGCGCAGGCGGUUUCGCAAGUCAGAUGUGAAAGCCCCGGGCUUAACCUGGGAACUGCAUUUGAAACUACGAGGCUUGAGUGUGUCAGAGGGAGGUAGAAUUCCACGUGUAGCAGUGAAAUGCGUAGAGAUGUGGAGGAAUACCGAUGGCGAAGGCAGCCUCCUGGGAUAACACUGACGCUCAUGCACGAAAGCGUGGGGAGCAAACA